CGGAUGCAUUUAUGAAGGCAAGUGUUGGGUCUUAUUGGCGCCGCACAAGAAACCAACGUGUGAAACCCAGACAUUCACUGUUAGAAACAGGAAGAAGCUGUGGGCCCUUGCUUCAGAUUCUGCAAAAGAUGUACCAAGGCUGAGGAAAUUGGCAAAAAGGGAAGAAAUGCCGUAGCAUAACUUUGGGAUGGCAGAUUGUACACAAAUGGGAGGCCUGAGCAGGCUGCAUUUAGCAGGGGAACAUGACCUGACUGCACAGGAGGCAAGGAACUCUCUUCUCUCGCUGACCAUGAGCCCUCAGUUUCAAGGCAGAUGUGAAGAGGAAUAUUUGACCCGUGGGAAAUGCAACUUCAGAUACGUAACCCAGGUGUCGCUGAAACAAAGAAGUCCAAGAGUACCAGGGAGUUGCCUCCCCUUCAGGAGGAAGGGAAGAAAAACAACUUGCCAGAUGAAG